rnacentral:rRNA from 1 species
CGCGUAGGUGGUUUGUUAAGUUGAAUGUGAAAUCCCCGGGCUCAACCUGGGAACUGCAUCCAAAACUGGCAAGCUAGAGUAGGGCAGAGGGUGGUGGAAUUUCCUGUGUAGCGGUGAAAUGCGUAGAUAUAGGAAGGAACACCAGUGGCGAAGGCGACCACCUGGGCUCAUACUGACACUGAGGUGCGAAAGCGUGGGGAUCAAACAGGAUUAGAUACCCCUGUA